rnacentral:rRNA from 1 species
UACGGGGGGAGCAAGCGUUGUUCGGAUUUACUGGGCGUAAAGGGCGCGUAGGCGGUCAGCACAAGUCAGUUGUGAAAUCUCCGGGCUUAACUCGGAAAGGUCAACUGAUACUGUGCGACUAGAGUGCAGAAGGGGCAACUGGAAUUCCCGGUGUAGCGGUGAAAUGCGUAGAUAUCGAGAGGAACACCUGCGGCGAAGGCGGGUUGCUGGGCUGACACUGACGCUGAUGCGCGAAAGCUGGGGGAGCAAACAGG